rnacentral:rRNA from 1 species
CUCGUAGGUGGCCAACUAAGUCAGACGUGAAAUCCCUCGGCUUAACCGGGGAACUGCGUCUGAUACUGGAUGGCUUGAGAUUGGGAGAGGGAUGCGGAAUUCCAGGUGUAGCGGUGAAAUGCGUAGAUAUCUGGAGGAACACCGGUGGCGAAGGCGGCAUCCUGGACCAACACUGACGCUGAGGAGCGAAAGCCAGGGAGCAAACG